rnacentral:rRNA from 1 species
GUGGGGAAUCUUGCGCAAUGGGCGAAAGCCUGACGCAGCCAUGCCGCGUGGAUGAUGAAGGUCUUAGGAUUGUAAAAUCCUUUCACCGGUGAAGAUCAUGACUGUAGCCGGAGACGAAGCCCCGGCUAACUUCGUGCCAGCAGCCGCGGUAAUACGAAGGGGGCUAGCGUUGCUCGGACUUACUGGGCGUAAAGGGAGCGUAGGCGGACAUUUAAGUCAGGGGUGAAAUCCCGAGGCUCAAACUCGGAACUACCUUUGGUACUGGGUGUCUUGAGUGUGUGAGAGGUAAGUGGAACUCCGAGUGUAGAGGUGAAAUUCGUAGAUAUUCGGAAGAACACCAGUGGCGAAGGCGACUCACUGGCCCGUUACUGACGCUGAGGCGCGAAAGCGUGGGGAGCAAACAGGAUUAGAUACCCUUGUAGUCC